GUGCCUUUGGGAAUAUUUGACAAAAAUGGAUCGACAUAGAAAAAAAUUGGCAUUGUCACUGUGCAAGGAUGACACACAUAAAUUGAGAAAUAAAUUAUUUAUCU